rnacentral:rRNA from 1 species
UGAAACUGCGAAUGGCUCAUUACAUCAGUUAUAAUUUAUUUGAUAAUCGAAAGUUACAUGGAUAACCGUGACAAAUUACAGCUAAUACAUGCAGUCAGACCUGGUCCAAGGGUCGUAAUUAUUAGUAUUAAACCAUUUCCGAAAGGAGUGUGAUGAAUCAUAAUAAUCGAACGAAUCGCCUGGUGUGCGAUAAAUCAUUCAAGUUUCUGCCCUAUCAGCUUUGGAUGGUAGUGUAUUGGACUACCAUGGCAGUCACGGGUAACGGAGAAUUAGGGUUCGAUUCCGGAGAGGGAGCCUGAGAAACGGCUACCACAUCUACGGAAGGCAGCAGGAGCGAAAAUUGCCCAAUCCCGACACGGGGAGGCAGUGACGAGAAAUAACAACUCUUGGUUAUUCUAAGAAGUGUAAUGAGGAUAAUUUAAAACCCUUACCGAAAGCAAUUGGAGGGCGAGUCUGGUGCCAGCAGCCGCGGUAAUUCCAGCUCCAAUAGCGUAUAUUAAAGUUGUUGCAGUUAAAAAGCUCGUAGUUGAAGUUCUGGCUGAUCGAUCCUCGAGCUCUGUAGCCGAGGACUCGUCAGUCAUCCGCUUGCAAAUAUAUGUUCGCCUUUAACCGGGUGGCUAUAUGAGUAAGCAAUUUACCUUGAGAAAAACAGAGUGUUCCAGGCAGGUUUGUCCGGAAUGCAUUAGCAUGGAAUAAUAGAAUAUGACUGAAGUCGAUUUAUUGGUUUGAGGCUUUAGUAAUGAUUAAUAGGAACAGUCGGGGGGUAUUGGUACUUGUC